GACGUAGGGGGCAAGCGUUGUCCGGAAUCACUGGGCGUAAAGGGUGCGUAGGCGGGUCUUUAAGUCAGGGGUGAAAUCCUGGAGCUCAACUCCAGAACUGCCUUUGAUACUGAAGAUCUUGAGUUCGGGAGAGGUGAGUGGAACUGCGAGUGUAGAGGUGAAAUUCGUAGAUAUUCGCAAGAACACCCGUGGCGAAGGCGGCUCUCUGGGACGGUACUGACGCUGAGGAGCGAAAGCGUGGGGAGCGAACAGG
rnacentral:rRNA from 1 species